GACGUAGGGCGCGAGCGUUGUCCGGAUUUAUUGGGCGUAAAGAGCUCGUAGGCGGCUUGUUGCGUCGACUGUGAAAACCCGCGGCUUAACUGCGGGCUUGCAGUUGAUACGGGCAGGCUAGAGUUCGGUAGGGGAGACUGGAAUUCCUGGUGUAGCGGUGAAAUGCGCAGAUAUCAGGAGGAACACCGGUGGCGAAGGCGACAUCCUGGACCGGUAUUGACGCUGAGGCGCGAAAGCCAGGGGAGCAAACGGG
rnacentral:rRNA from 1 species